rnacentral:lncRNA from 1 species
UCAAACUCCUGACCUCAGGUGACCCGCCUGCCUUUGCCUUCCAAAGUGCUGGGAUUAUAGGCGUGAGCCACGCCCCGGGUCCCAUAUUCUUUUUCUUUGCAAAAGAUUCAGCUGAAGUUCGUUUCUGUAACUCAUACCAGAAAGCCUUUGCUAAGACAGAUGAUGAAAUGGAGGCAUACAGAGUACAAAUGAAAUUUGCGGCCGGGCAUGGUGGCUCACUCCUGUAGUCCCAGCACUUUGGGAGGCCGAGGCAGGUGGAUCACGUGAGGUCAGGAGACCAGUAUGGCCAACAUGGUGAAACCCCGUCUCUACUAAAAAUACAAAAAUUAGCCAGGCAUGGUGGCAGGCACGUGUAAUCCUAGCCUCUCGGGAGGCUGAGGCAGGAGAAUGCUUGAACCUGGGAGGCGGAAAUUGUAGUGAGCUGAGACCAUGCCAUUGCACUCCAACCUGGGCAACAAGAGCAAGACUCCAUCUCAAAAAAAAAGAAGAAGAAAAGAAAUUUGUGGCUGGGGGCAGUGGCUCACGCCUG